UUAAAUUAAAUUUGAACCAUUCGAUCAAAGAUCGGAUGGAUAAAAAAUAGUCACGUUUAAUCAACUCUUUAUAUUUACCCAUAUGUAUGUGUGUGUAUUAAAUCUAGACUGUCCGAUCAAAUGAUCGGAUGAACCAUAUUUCAGUCAACAAUGUCUGUAUGAUAACAUCUUUUCUCACCAUAAAAGAAGGGAGUCAGGUCACGCGUGACCUUUCUCCAAGGAGUCAUUUGAUGAGUCUCCAUCUAUUUUCCAAAAAAGAACAACACAAACCACACUUCUCUCUUCUUCCUUUCUCUACCACCUUAAAAUAGAAGCUUACAUCAGUCGGGUCAUCGCCAUAGCUAUGGCUCCCUUUUGAGAUUCCCCUAUUUUCGCUCCCUAAGCCCGUGAAUCUGAAGUGGCAGAAAAGAGCAGUCCCAAAAUGAUACAACAAUCUAUUAUUGAUUUUGAAGGAGAUUUUUUAAUUCAAAUCUUCUCUCUCCCUUUUUCUUCUUUCUAUUUUAAUUUUUGAGGUUUUAAAUUCGGACUUUCAAGUCUAAAUUUGUACCUAUAAAUAGUGAUCAUCCGUAACCAUGGAGGGACAGGUUUUAAAAGGCUAAAAAUCUAGAGUGAAAGGUUAAAUAUCGGUAAGGGAGGGAAAAGAAAAAAAUCUGUGAGAAAAGUAAGGAAGAUCUGUGAAAGAAGUGUGAAAAAAAUGAGUGAAAAAUAAAACAAAGGAAAAACUGAGAAAGAGAGGCCUCAAAAUUGUCUGUUUAUUCUUGAUUUUUGAUCCAAAUUUGGAGUUCUACAGUUGAGUUCGCCAACCGAAAAGUAGCUUGACGUUAAAGCCCCAAGUUUGCUGCCCGAUAAAAGACUUGGAGACUAAAGUUCUAGAAAAGGACAUUCUUCUACUGGAAGAUGCUUGAUUAAAUGAUUGAGAUCUUAGAAAUUUUAAAUUUAUAGAUUCAUCUAGAUAUUGUACUACUUGUUCAAUAUUUGAAUGUUCUUCUAUUUCUGGCUCCGUUACGGAGUCGAAAUGUCAAUUAUCAUUUAUUAAUACAUCAUUCCAUUUUAUCAUUUUGGGGACAAAGGUAUUAUUAUGAUUAUGGUUAGCUUACAUAAGCAUGGUAGGUCCUUUAUUACUAAUUAAUUUAGCCUUAGGGCCUAAGGUUAGUUUCAUUAAUCUGUAAUAUACUCUAUAUAAUAUUGCUAUUUCUCUUGUAUUUACCU